rnacentral:lncRNA from 1 species
CUGCUAGCCAACAAAGGCUCAACGGGAUCCUUCUCUAGAGAAAUGGAUGAACCUGGAGGAAAUAAUUUGGGAGGUGGCAAGGCAGAAAUAAAAGGCUUCCUGCCCAGCCAUUGAUGAAGGAGUCUCUCAACACUGAGAACAUCUAAGUAAAGUCUUGGUGACUCAGUCUUAACGUGCCUGGAUUCAGGAUUCAGGAUUCAGGAUUCAGUUCAGGAUUAUUAGAUAUUUAUGGAAGAUAUCAACACACACAAAAAAGGAGCAAAAUCUACCACUCAGACACUGGAAGGAUUGUGGAGGAAAAAUACUCUACAGAUAAAAAUACUUUACAGAAGACAAAGAGAAGAGUAGAGAAAGAAAAGAAAGAACAAAAUGAAAGAAAAAAAGAAAGAAGGAAAGAAGGAAGGAAGGAAAAAGAAAGAAAGAAAGAAAAAGAGAAAUAAAGAAAGAAAAGAAAAGAAAGAAGGAAGGAAGGAAGGGAGGGAGGGAAGGAAAAUAAACAACUCUAGUAUCUUUAUAGAGAAACAAGUAGAGCAGGAUGCCUUAAAAGAGAAGAAACAAAGACCAAAAAAUAAAAUGAGCAUUUGAAAAUAUGAAGGAGGGUAAUCAGGUAUAAAACAAGCAAACAAACAAAAGCAAAACAAAAAGCAGAAAACCUGGAAGAUAAAAUUCAAAAAAACUUCCAAGAUAAAAAGACAAAGAGAUGGACAUCUGAAAAGAAAACACAAGAACAUCAUAACAUUUGUCUACUGUGUUAGAGUUCAGAAGGCAAGAGCAUAAACAAAUGAAGGAGAGUAUUAAUAAAAUCUUUUUUCCCCAAAUUGAAAAGAACCACUGUGGACUCAGCAAAUGAGUGAAAAUACCAAGCCAUUAAAGCACGUAAGAGACCAGGAAUAAGUAAAAGUCCCUAAAGCUUCCAGAAAGGGGAGAGGAAAAUGAAAAAAAGACAGUUUCCAAAUGAAGGACUGGGGAUUAGAGGAACAAUGGACUUCUCAGUAGCCACAGUGGAUGGGAGUCAAGGACAUUACGCUAAAACUCCUGGGGAAAGUGACUUCCACCCCAGAAUCCUGUUCUCUAACUCUUUGUUAGCUGAGAAGCCUUGGAGGCAGUCAGAAGAUUGCUUCUGUGUUUCCCACAGACAGACAAUGCCUGGCAUCCACAAACAGGGUGUUCAGCAUGGCAGAGACACACAGGAAGCUCCAGCAGGGUGACAGGCCUGGGCUGGAACAAGGAGGGCAGCACUGGGAAUGAGGAGUGCAGGGAAAAAGGGAUGGAGAGAUUGGCCUGUGUGGGGGAAAUAGAGCGUGGACAUUUCACAUGCUCACCUCCUCCUAACCUUUGUUCAAAUGGCACUUUCUAUUCAGUCUACCUACAACCUGCACCCCCUUCUUUUGGAAUUCUAAUCUCCCUUUCUCCCUUCGUUUUGUUUUUUUUGUUUGUUUGGUUGGUUUUUUAUUGGUUUUUUCCCCCUUUUUUUCAUUUUUAUCCAUGACACUUAUCACUUUCUAAAAUGUGCUAUCAUUUAAAAUACAUUAUGUUUAUAAACAUCUAUAAAUAAACAAAAAGAGAAAUAAACAUAAAGUCUAAGCAUAUGGUCUAAAUAAACACUGUAUCUAUUGUUGACUCUGUCACCCCCA